rnacentral:rRNA from 1 species
GGGGAAUAUUGCACAAUGGGCGAAAGCCUGAUGCAGCAACGCCGCGUGAGUGAUGAAGGUCUUCGGAUUGUAAAGCUCUGUCUUUUGGGACGAUAAUGACGGUACCAAAGGAGGAAGCCACGGCUAACUACGUGCCAGCAGCCGCGGUAAUACGUAGGUGGCGAGCGUUGUCCGGAUUUACUGGGCGUAAAGGGUGCGUAGGCGGAUGUUUAAGUGAGAUGUGAAAUACCCGGGCUUAACUUGGGUGCUGCAUUUCAAACUGGAUAUCUAGAGUGCAGGAGAGGAGAAUGGAAUUCCUAGUGUAGCGGUGAAAUGCGUAGAGAUUAGGAAGAACACCAGUGGCGAAGGCGAUUCUCUGGACUGUAACUGACGCUGAGGCACGAAAGCGUGGGUAGCAAACAGGAUUAGAUACCCUGGUAGUCCACGCCGUAAACGAUGAGUACUAGGUGUAGGAGGUAUCGACCCCUUCUGUGCCGCAGUAAACACAUUAAGUACUCCGCCUGGGAAGUACGAUCGCAAGAUUAAAACUCUAAAGUGAAUUGAC